CAGCCCACCAGCAACAGACUCCAGCGUUUCCACUGGCUUCUGCCCACCAAAUGCCAGUCCUCCUAAGGAAAAUGUACCCUGAAAGAGCAUACUGUGCAACUCACUUCACUGGGACCACAGAGCUCCAAAUUGAUGAGACAGGCACGAACAAGAAAAUGAGGACAAGAGCAACCCCACUGUGUUUGCUUCAAGCCCUGUCACCAGAGCUGCUCUGCUAAAAAGUGACCUAGAACUGCAGAUUCCUUUGGUCCCAGGAAAGAUGUUCCAGUGAACAAGAGCCUACAACGAGACAGAGAUAACCAGGGUUCAGUUUUGCUUGUCUUCACCAGACAACUAAAGGGACAGACACUGGGCAGUCUUUUAUUUUAUGUAUCACUUCCUUGUCUAUAUAAAUUAAAUCCAGACUUUCUUCCUUUCUAAAGUGAAGAAAAGGUUUUUAGUGAUCUUAAAUGUCUAAGACACUUUAGUAACAGUGCCAUACUUACAGACAGUCA